GCCAAAGAAAGGAAGAAGGAGCCCUGUCCCACGGAGGCUAUAAUCAGAUGAGGUGAACAAUAGAAGAGAGACACAAAGACAUUGCAGAGCUGAUGAUGACUUUAUCUCAAAAUCAGAGACCUGGAGAUUAAGAUGCAUCACCUCUACAUCAGAUUGCAUGGGUGAGAUUCACUAUCCCAAUGCCUGCAUUACUGAGAAGGACAACAUUUUUGAACAGUCCUCCGGAGAAGACUUCCUUUGCUGUGAACAACAACAAAAAUGGGAGCAGACGAGCCAAAGACCAGGGAAGGAUGACAGACUACAGCAGGCAGCAGCCUGAAACAGUGUCGGCGAAGCACGGCACACUGAAGGAGAACAAGUCUAUUUCGCUGCUUGAUGGAGUGACUCUCGCAGGCUCUGUAUCUUAAUUUUUCUUUUUUCCUGCUUGUCUAUCUUUUACUGUUUUUUUUUAUAAACCUCUGUGUGCUUGAUAUUCAAUCUCUCUCUCUUCCUCUCCAAAGAUAUUUUUGUACAAUGGUGAAUCAACUUACUCUCA